ACAAAGAAGAGUUUGAUCCUGGCUCAGGAUGAACGCUAGCGGCAGGCUUAACACAUGCAAGUCGAGGGGCAGCGCGGUGUAGCAAUACAUUGGCGGCGACCGGCGGAAGGGUGCGUAACGCGUGAGCAACUUGCCCGUAUCUGGGGGAUAACCGGUGGAAACGCCGACUAAUAUCCCAUAACAACAGAGGUCGCAUGGCCUUUGUUUGAAAGCUUCGGUGGAUACGGAUAGGCUCGCGAGACAUUAGCUAGUUGGAGUGGUAACGGCACACCAAGGCAACGAUGUCUAGGGGUUCUGAGAGGAAGGUCCCCCACAUUGGAACUGAGACACGGUCCAAACUCCUACGGGAGGCAGCAGUGAGGAAUAUUGGUCAAUGGACGGAAGUCUGAACCAGCCAUGCCGCGUGAAGGAAUAAGGCCCUACGGGUCGUAAACUUCUUUUGUGGUGGAGCAAUAAGACGUACGUGUACGUCGAUGAGAGUACAUCACGAAUAAGCAUCGGCUAACUCCGUGCCAGCAGCCGCGGUAAUACGGAGGAUGCAAGCGUUAUCCGGAUUUAUUGGGUUUAAAGGGUGCGUAGGCUGUGUAGCAAGUCAGUGGUGAAAGCCCGGUGCUCAACACCGGAACUGCCAUUGAUACUGUUGCGCUGGAAUACGGAUGCCGUGGGAGGAAUGAGUAGUGUAGCGGUGAAAUGCAUAGAUAUUACUCAGAACACCGAUUGCGAAGGCAUCUCACGAAUCCGUCAUUGACGCUGAGGCACGAAAGCGUGGGGAUCAAACAGGAUUAGAUACCCUGGUAGUCCACGCAGUAAACGAUGAUAACUAACCGUCGGCGAUAGACAGUCGGUGGCCAAGCGAAAGCGAUAAGUUAUCCACCUGGGGAGUACGACCGCAAGGUUGAAACUCAAAGGAAUUGACGGGGGCC
rnacentral:rRNA from 1 species